rfam:Larimichthys crocea isolate SSNF unplaced genomic scaffold scaffold410, whole genome shotgun sequence.
UGUUUCCCUCUCUGUAAGUAGCUUUGGAUAAAAGUGUCUGCUAAAUGACUAAAU